rnacentral:tRNA from 1 species
UGGACCAUAAGUUAAGAUUUAAACUAUCAAACUUCAAAUUUGAAACUAUCCUGAAUGGAUUGGUCUAA